CUCCGCUUCUGCAUGUUACUUUCAUUUUAGGGCGGUGCAGUGUACAUGUAAAAUUAAACUCCAGCAAAAUGAGUGACACAAACUUGACAGCUAUUUUACACAAGAAAGGAGAUAUCAGACUGGAAGACUGUCCCAUACCGGAAACAGGUCCUGGACGUAUGUAAUAGGUUCAGCUGUGCAUGCAGCAUAUGGGCAUAUGUGGCUCUGAUGUGCACUUCUGGCAGAACGGCUACAUCGGGGACUUUGUGGUGCGCGCACCCAUGGUGUUGGGUCACGAGGCAGCUGGGACCGUCUCUAAACUGGGG